rnacentral:lncRNA from 1 species
GUUAGACAUAUUGAUGUGCUGACCUAAUUUAAUCAAUCGAAUGUCAGAUCUACUGAUUUAGAAGAGAUCUAAAUCCAAAUCUUCUCAUUAAAUAUUAAGUCUAGAGGUCUUCCAUCGUUGUAGAGAUGCAGGUGCCUUCCUGGCAUUGAUCGUUCUUGACUGAUUACAGUGAUUCGAUUGUAUCGAAAAAGUAUAACCACUCUAUUGACAUUUGAUGU